GAAAGAACGGAGGGAAAGAUACCUUGCUCGGCAGCAGGUUGAAGGUGUUGAUUCGGUUUAAUCUGUAACCUGAAGCUGGUACUUGCUGUAAGCCUUUCUUUUUUACUUUAUUAUGAAAUGUUUUACAUAAGUAGUAGCAAAAAUCUGUCGUUAUCCUCGUCCCCUUUUAUUUUCAUGUUUGAUAAGGCGUGUGUUUAGAGUUUCAAUGGGAAAGA
rnacentral:misc_RNA from 1 species